rnacentral:rRNA from 1 species
UACGAAGGGGGCUAGCGUUGCUCGGAAUUACUGGGCGUAAAGGGCGCGUAGGCGGAUGUCUAAGUUGGGGGUGAAAUCCCGGGGCUCAACCUCGGAAUUGCCUUCAAAACUGGAUAUCUUGAGUUCGGGAGAGGUGAGUGGAACUCCGAGUGUAGAGGUGAAAUCCGUAGAUAUUCGGAAGAACACCAGUGGCGAAGGCGACUCACUGGCCCGAUACUGACGCUGAGGCGCGAAAGCGUGGGGAGCAAACAGG